GGAUCCUACUAUGUGGAUGUUUCUCAGCGUUUCUGGAACCACACUCAAUACUGUUUUUUCCAAAAAUACACUCAACACCAGCUUUACAGUAUGUGAGAAAGUUAUUCCCACCCUCUUGAAGUCAGGCAUGCCAUGUGCCUUACUUUGCGCAGUGAAAUUGGUAAUUAUGGAAGCUUAUGUUGACUUUGAGGUACUAUAAAAUCAAAGCAGCAUGGAAUGCUGGGUGAACACAUAGAAGACAGCUGCCUGGAAAGUCAUGCAGACUUGUAGACUUACCAUGAACAAGAAAUAAACAAAUACUUGUUACCUAAA